UGCUGCCAGAAAUAGAGGAGAUGAAUUACCUCCAGAUGGGCCGAAAGACGUGAAUGCUCAGGAUAUUAACCUUCUCAGCCUCUGAAGAGAGAACUUUUUCAAGAAAUAGCUGCCCCAGAUGGACAAGUGACAGCAUAUGAUGUGGCUGACUGCAGGCUGUGUGUGCUCCUGCUAACCAGCAAGCAUGUGCAUGCUGAUAGACUUAACAGCUGGACAAACAGGACCAGUAACUGCUGAUCUCAUGAAACUUGUUGUAUUUUAAUUAUCUUCAUGACCUUUAAUCCUCUAUAAAUUUCGCUGAAAUUAAUAAAUGCAUUGAAAAAUUUUUACA
rnacentral:lncRNA from 1 species